rnacentral:rRNA from 1 species
UGAUUGAUAACAUUUGAGUGAGUGGCGGACGGGUGAGUAACACGUGGGUAACCUGCCCUAAAGUGGGGGAUAACAUUUGGAAACAGAUGCUAAUACCGCAUAAAACCUAGCACCGCAUGGUGCAAGGUUGAAAGAUGGUUUCGGCUAUCACUUUAGGAUGGACCCGCGGUGCAUUAGUUAGUUGGUGAGGUAAAGGCUCACCAAGACCGUGAUGCAUAGCCGACCUGAGAGGGUAAUCGGCCACACUGGGACUGAGACACGGCCCAGACUCCUACGGGAGGCAGCAGUAGGGAAUCUUCCACAAUGGACGAAAGUCUGAUGGAGCAACGCCGCGUGAGUGAAGAAGGUUUUCGGAUCGUAAAACUCUGUUGUUGGAAAAGAACGUAUUUGAUAGUAACUGAUCAGGUAGUGACGGUAUCCAACCAGAAAGCCACGGCUAACUACGUGCCAGGAGCCGCGGUAAUACGUAGGUGGCAAGCGUUGUCCGGAUUUAUUGGGCGUAAAGCGAGCGCAGGCGGUUUCUUAAGUCUGAUGUGAAAGCCUUCGGCUCAACCGAAGAAGUGCAUCGGAAACUGGGAAACUUGAGUGCAAAAGAGGACAGUGGAACUCCAUGUGUAGCGGUGAAAUGCGUANAUAUAUGGAAGAACACCAGUGGCGAAGGCGGCUGUCUGGUCUGUAACUGACGCUGAGGCUCGAAAGCAUGGGUAGCAAACAGGAUUAGAUACCCUGGUAGUCCAUGCCGUAAACGAUGAGUGCUAGGUGUUGGAGGGUUUCCGCCCUUCAGUGCCGCAGCUAACGCAUUAAGCACUCCGCCUGGGGAGUACGACCGCAAGGUUGAAACUCAAAGGAAUUGACGGGGGCCCGCACAAGCGGUGGAGCAUGUGGUUUAAUUCGAAGCAACGCGAAAAACCUUACCAGGUCUUGACAUCCUUUGACCACUCUAGAGAUAGAGCUUUCCCUUCGGGGACAAAGUGACAGGUGGUGCAUGGUUGUCGUCAGCUCGUGUCGUGUGAUGUUGGGUUAAGUCCCGCAACCAGCGCCACCCUUAUUACUAGUUGCCAGCA